rnacentral:rRNA from 1 species
AUUGAACGCUGGCGGCAGGCCUAACACAUGCAAGUCGAGCGGAUGAAGGGAGCUUGCUCCUGGAUUCAGCGGCGGACGGGUGAGUAAUGCCUAGGAAUCUGCCUGGUAGUGGGGGAUAACGUCCGGAAACGGGCGCUAAUACCGCAUACGUCCUGAGGGAGAAAGUGGGGGAUCUUCGGACCUCACGCUAUCAGAUGAGCCUAGGUCGGAUUAGCUAGUUGGUGGGGUAAAGGCCUACCAAGGCGACGAUCCGUAACUGGUCUGAGAGGAUGAUCAGUCACACUGGAACUGAGACACGGUCCAGACUCCUACGGGAGGCAGCAGUGGGGAAUAUUGGACUAUGGGCGAAAGCCUGAUCCAGCCAUGCCGCGUGUGUGAAGAAGGUCUUCGGAUUGUAAAGCACUUUAAGUUGGGAGGAAGGGCAGUAAGUUAAUACCUUGCUGUUUUGACGGUACCAACAGAAUAAGCACCGGCUAACUUCGUG